GAGCAGCGCGAGGGACCAUCCUCCUCUCUAUCUUCGGACAACCACUUGGCUUGGGUCAGAAGCGAUAUGCUGUUGCUCGCCUUGAUAUACACGCUCUAUGAAGAAUUCUCUAAGACAGUCAGUUUAUUGGUUUCUGCAAAAGGGUGUUUUGUUUAGACACUUAGAGAUGGAGCUGACGGAAUGCUGCAGUUAGAGAGAACAUGAGCAAGGUAAUGAAUUAUACUCACACGGUUCUUGCGACUUAUUGCCAUUUAAUUCUCUUGAUGCGCACAGUCCCAACUUCUUCGCUAGACAAACGUUGCUCUCGUUAUCGAAACGAGGGCGAGGAUGCCAUGUACGUAGAUAUAUGUACGUAGGUGAGAAGACAGGUUAGAAUACUUGAAAUUUGAAGAGCCGAUAACUCGCUGCAACAGAGAGAGUGAUUUGAAUAGCGCGUUGCUUAUGAUAUGAACGUAGCGUAGCUUGAAAAUAUGCGGACGAUUUCUUUUCAAGAAAAAAAAAAGAGGUCUUUCGUGGAUCUUCUUUGUUUACAUUUUCUAAUAUCUGCUAAAAAGAAAUAAAAGGGUGGGUUACCAACGGCGCACGGAAUUCCUAAGGGGGCGGUCACCCAUCUUAGUAACUAUUCGUGCCGCGCGCUGCUUAACUCUGGCGAUCGGAUGAAAACCAGCAUUUUCAGCGCGCUUUCGUCGUUGGCGCAGGUUAAGUGUUUUUCUAGAAAAACGAAGAACACAGUUUGAUAAAACUUAAGAAUUAUUUCGUUUCUCUCAAUGACAACAUAAAGGAUAGAAAGAUACGAAAGCAUAGUACUUGUAAAGAUCUGAUAUAGCACUUCCCAUUUCCAUAAAUACAGGCCUUGUAGGACAAAGAUAAGGAAAAAAAGUAGAAAUGUUCGGGAGACCAUCUAUCUUCAAUGGGAAAAAGUUGAUAAUUAUUUGCUUUGAGCUUCUAUGUUCUAUCGACGCUAACGUUUUAUGUCUACUAAUAAUAAAGGGAAACACCGUGGAACAUCGAAAAUUACCAGUUAACAAGAGCAAUAAGGAAAUUAAUUGUACGACGUAACAAGCAUGAAUAUCUUUUUAAAUCAAUACUUUGAU